rnacentral:rRNA from 1 species
GACGAACGCUGGCGGCGUGCUUAACACAUGCAAGUCGAACGGAAAGGCCCUGCUUGCAGGGUACUCGAGUGGCGAACGGGUGAGUAACACUUGGGUGAUCUGCCCUGCACUUCGGGAUAAGCCUGGGAAACUGGGUCUAAUACCGGAUAGGAGCCAUUUUUAGUGUGAUGGUUGGAAAGUUUGUUCGGUGUAGGAUGAGCUCGCGGCCUAUCAGCUUGUUGGUGGGGUAAUGGCCUAACAAGGCGGCGACGGGUAGCCGGCCUGAGAGGGUGGACGGCCACAUGGGGACUGAGAUACGGCCCAGACUCCUACGGGAGGCAGCAGUGGGGAAUAUUGCACAAUGGGCGCGAGCCUGAUGCAGCGACGCCGCGUGGGGGAUGACGGCCUUCGGGUUGUAAACUCCUUUCGCUAGGGACGAAGCUUUUGUGACGGUACCUAGAGAAGAAGCACCGGCUAACUACGUG